rnacentral:rRNA from 1 species
CAGCAGGUAAAACGUAGGUGGCAAGCGUUGUCCGGAAUUAUUGGGCGUAAAGGGCUCGCAGGCGGUUUCUUAAGUCUGAUGUGAAAGCCCCCGGCUCAACCGGGGAGGGUCAUUGGAAACUGGGAAACUUGAGUGCAGAAGAGGAGAGUGGAAUUCCACGUGUAGCGGUGAAAUGCAUAGAGAUGUGGAGGAACACCAGUGGCGAAGGCGACUCUCUGGUCUGUAACUGACGCUGAGGAGCGAAAGCGUGGGGAGCGAACAGGAUUAGAUACCCCCGUAGUCCCUGUCUCUUAUACACAUU